rnacentral:rRNA from 1 species
AACACAUGCAAGUCGAACGCCCUCUUCGGAGGGAGUGGCAGACGGGUGAGUAACACGUGGGAACCUACCUAGGGGUACGGAAUAACUCGGGGAAACUCGUGCUAAUACCGUAUACGACCUUCGGGUGAAAGAUUUAUCGCCCCUAGAUGGGCCCGCGCUGGAUUAGCUAGUUGGUGGGGUAAAAGCCUACCAAGGCGACGAUCCAUAGCUGGUCUGAGAGGAUGAUCAGCCACACUGGGACUGAGACACGGCCCAGACUCCUACGGGAGGCAGCAGUGGGGAAUCUUGGACAAUGGGGGAAACCCUGAUCCAGCCAUGCCGCGUGAGUGAUGAAGGCCUUAGGGUUGUAAAGCUCUUUCGCCAGGGAAGAUAAUGACGGUACCUGGAUAAGAAGCCCCGG